CCUACGGGUGGCUGCAGUGAGGAAUAUUGGUCAAUGGGCGCGAGCCUGAACCAGCCAAGUCGCGUGAGGGAAGACGGUCCUAUGGAUUGUAAACCUCUUUUGUCGGGGAGCAAAAGACGCCACGCGUGGCGUUCCGAGAGUACCCGAAGAAAAAGCAUCGGCUCAAUCCGUGCCCGCAGCCGCGGUCCUAAGGAGGAUGCGAUCGUUAUCCGGAUUUAUUUGGUUUAAAGGGUGCGCAGGCGGAAGAUGAAGUCAGCGGUAAAAUUGAGAUGCUCAACCUCUUCGAGCCGUUGAAACUUGUUUUCUUGAGUGAGCGAGAAGUAUGCGGAAUGCGUGGUGGAGCGGUGAAAUGCAGAGAUAUCACGCAGAACUCCGAUUGCGAAGGCAGCAUACCGGCGCUCAACUGACGCUCAUGCACGAAAGUGUGGGUAUCGAACAGGAUUAGAUACCCCAGUAGUC
rnacentral:rRNA from 1 species